CGUCCUCCUGGAAUGGCUAUGCCGUAUUGAAAGGACUGGGCCAAGCUAACAACUUCUAACUAAUUAGUUUGAUAAAGUGCAUGUAUGGAUGACUCCUCGCUUACACAAGAAAGAAGGAAAAAUCACAUUAGUAUCUUGAAUAAUGAGGGCUGAAAUCAAUGUUGCUCACCAAGUUGACUCAAGGGAAUCAUCUAAAAGCCUGGAUGAGGACAUGUUAUUAACCUUUCUCCAAUUCUCCGGGAUGUCAUAUUUGUGUUGCUUUGCCAGUUCCAUUUUGCUCCCUUGUGUCGAGGAUUACAGGCGAAAUUCACCUGGUUUUUACCCAGAAGGCUUUCAACGGCUUCCACCGAGUUGUGGAAUCAGACUUCAGCCUGUUUCCUUCAGAGUAACAGCACCCAGCGGUGAGGACGAGCAAACAAAGUGUGUGUGUGUGGGUGUUGGUGGGUACAUUCUGUGUCUUGGCCUGUGUAUUUGAGUCCAUCAGAAGCACCAUAUUGCAUUAUAGUCGAUCCAACACUUGGAGAAAGUAAUGAACGCCUCCCUGAGAGAGGGAUUGGGAGAGAGAGUGGGAGAAUAACAGCCAGACAGUGUCAGGCAUCAUUUUUAAACAGGUCUUCCUCUCGGAGUUCACUGAAGGACUUGUCCAAGCCAACUAAUUCGGUCUCAGUCCAACAUCAAUAUCUUCAAAGACCUCAAAUAGUGUUAGAACCCCAUUCUGUUUAAUAGUUUCAUCUAUUAAUCUAAGUCCCCAAUAUCUCCCGGUCAGCUGACUGCAACGACUGCUGUUUGUGGUUAAUAUUCACAUGAUUCUGGAGUCUCUCCUACCACUGAAUAUAUCUCUGGGAACGUCGGA
ensembl:lncRNA